AUUGAACGCUGGCGGCAGGCUUAACACAUGCAAGUCGAGCGGGGGAAGGUAGCUUGCUACCGGACCUAGCGGCGGACGGGUGAGUAAUGCUUAGGAAUCUGCCUAUUAGUGGGGGACAACAUCUCGAAAGGGAUGCUAAUACCGCAUACGUCCUACGGGAGAAAGCAGGGGAUCUUCGGACCUUGCGCUAAUAGAUGAGCCUAAGUCGGAUUAGCCAGUUGGUGGGGUAAAGGCCUACCAAGGCGACGAUCUGUAGCGGGUCUGAGAGGAGGAUCCGCCACACUGGGACUGAGACACGGCCCAGACUCCUACGGGAGGCAGCAGUGGGGAAUAUUGGACAAUGGGGGGAACCCUGAUCCAGCCAUGCCGCGUGUGUGAAGAAGGCCUUAUGGUUGUAAAGCACUUUAAGCGAGGAGGAGGCUACUUUAGUUAAUACCUAGAGAUAGUGGACGUUACUCGCAGAAUAAGCACCGGCUAACUCUGUGCCAGCAGCCGCCGUAAGAC
rnacentral:rRNA from 1 species